UACGAAGGGGGCUAGCGUUGCUCGGAAUCACUGGGCGUAAAGGGUGCGUAGGCGGGUCUUUAAGUCAGGGGUGAAAUCCUGGAGCUCAACUCCAGAACUGCCUUUGAUACUGAGGAUCUUGAGUUCGGGAGAGGUGAGUGGAACUGCGAGUGUAGAGGUGAAAUUCGUAGAUAUUCGCAAGAACACCAGUGGCGAAGGCGGCUCACUGGCCCGAUACUGACGCUGAGGCACGAAAAGCGUGGGGGAGCAAACAGGGA
rnacentral:rRNA from 1 species